rnacentral:lncRNA from 1 species
AUGAUUGUAAAUUAGAAGAUCUUCCAAUAUUUUCAUGACUCCAUAAGAUGUAGUUGGAAAGAAAGACAAAAUCUUAAAACAUGUUAAGAUUUGGGGUUGUGUGCUAAUAAGCAAUAUUUGUUUGAUAACAAUCUUGUGGGAUAUCCUUAAAUUAACUUUUGGAUAUCGCUUCUAUAUACCAACUAACAAAUGUUGUUUUGUUGGGUAGUUCAUUGUAAUCCUACAAUGUGAUUUGCCUAAGAGCAAAUGAACGAGGGAUAGAACUUAAAGAAUGGUUCUUUGAGAGACAAGAUAAUAAUCAACAAAUAUAACUACCUAGUUCCUAUACCAAAAGCUCCAAGGUAGUCGAGAAGGAUUUAUAAACCGUCUCAGUUGAAUGGUAUGAACUUUAUGACUAUGUCAUAG